AUCUACCAGACACUUCCUGCAUCCAGUUGGCAUCUGUAAUAAGGAAUAACCGAUCCCUGAAGAUACUUUACCUGUCUGAUAACCGACUGUCUGGUCCUCACUUCAGUGACUUGAUGGAGGCUCUGUCCAGUCCGGCCUGCAGGAUAAAGACAUUACUAUUGGCUAAUAAUCGUCUUCCAGACACUUCCUGCAUCCAGUUGGCAUCUGUAAUAAGGAAUAACCCGUCCCUGAAGAAACUCGACCUGUCUGAUAACCGUCUGUCUGGUCCUCACUUCAGUGACUUGAUGGAGGCUCUGUCCAGUCCGGCCUGCAGGAUAGAGACAUUACAUCUGCCGUACAGUGG